UGUUUAAUUUGAUGGGAACAAAGAUAUGAUGUCUAGCUAAAGAUUUUGAUAAUAUAUUAAAUUAUGAGCUUAAACUUUUCUUAGGUAUAGAUUUGGCAAAUAAUGAGUUCAAGUUUUUUGAAAGUGAGUUGUUGAGCAAAGAGUAGCAAAUAAUAAUCGUUAAUUAUUGGUAUUGCUAUGUAAAGGAGGAUGGGCAUUUGAGUUGAUUGAUUGCCCGAUGGAUGGGUUUGUGGAUUGAAUGAAUACAGGGAGAGUAUUGACAUUAUCUUAACAGGUAGAUAGUCCAAUUUUUAAGGGAGGUGCUGUCGAAAUUUUGAUAGAACUUAGACUAAUUUUAAUUAACAACAUAAUUAAUAAGUUUAUUUAGAUUAGUUCUA